rnacentral:rRNA from 1 species
UACGGAGGGAGCUAGCGUUGUUCGGAAUUACUGGGCGUAAAGCGCACGUAGGCGGCGAUUCAAGUCAGAGGUGAAAGCCCGGGGCUCAACCCCGGAACUGCCUUUGAAACUAGAUCGCUAGAAUCCUGGAGAGGCGAGUGGAAUUCCGAGUGUAGAGGUGAAAUUCGUAGAUAUUCGGAAGAACACCAGUGGCGAAGGCGACUCGCUGGACAGGUAUUGACGCUGAGGUGCGAAAGCGUGGGGAGCAAACAGG